rfam:Camelus ferus unplaced genomic scaffold scaffold591, whole genome shotgun sequence.
GAGGGUAUAGGUCACUGGUAGAGUGCGUGUGUAGCAUGCACAAGGUCCUGGGUUCAAUCCCCAGUACCUCCA